GACAGCAGCCGCCGCGGGAAUACAGAGGGUGCAAGCGUUAAUCGGAAUUACUGGGCGUAAAGCGCGCGUAGGUGGUUUGUUAAGUUGGAUGUGAAAUCCCCGGGCUCAACCUGGGAACUGCAUCCAAAACUGGCAAGCUAGAGUAUGGUAGAGGGUGGUGGAAUUUCCUGUGUAGCGGUGAAAUGCGUAGAUAUAGGAAGGAACACCAGUGGCGAAGGCGACCACCUGGACUGAUACUGACACUGAGGUGCGAAAGCGUGGGGAGCAAACAGGAUUAGAUACCCCUGUAGUCCCUGUCUCUUAUAC
rnacentral:rRNA from 1 species